UGUAAUAUUUAAAGUAUAGGUGACUCAUGCUAAAAACCUCCCCCAGCCUCACACCUUUAUCUCUUUGUUCUUUUAAUGAAUGCGGAGUAGUUAACCUGAACUGAUUCAUUAAGAUUCAACAGUGCACCCCAGAUCCUUGAAUAGAACAGACGUAUGAGCCAAGCUCCGUUUGUUAAAACGAGGCUGGGGGACACUUCAUGGAUAGCUCUAAGAAGGCUUAAAACAUGUGGACUUACAUGAUUUAUCUUAUAUGAUCAUAUCUUCAGGAAUACAAUAAACCAUUGAUGAGACAGAUAUCUCAGGUUUACAGUAGAAUCAGAGAUAUGUGGUUCCACCUCAGUACAGCUGGUUCAACUACCUACACACUCUAAUAUCCCAGGUGUUCCUAUGGUUAGAAACACUAAAGGCUCCGAGGAUUGCUGGAACUAUAGAAUGGAUAAUAGAAUCAGAGCAAUGUAGUUCCACCUCUAUACAGCUGGUUCAACUCCCUAAACCCUCUAAUAUUCCAGGUGUUUCUAUGGUUAGAAACACUGUGGACUCAGAAGAUAAUACAGGCCAA